GUACACACCGCCCGUCACRYCAUGGGAGUUGGCUUUACCCGAAGGCGCUGCGCUAACCCGCAAGGGAGGCAGGCGACCACGGYAGGGUCAGCGACUGGGGUGAAGUCGUAACAAGGUAGCCGUAGGUGAACCUGCAGAAGGAUCA
rnacentral:rRNA from 1 species